rnacentral:rRNA from 1 species
GACGAACGCUGGCGGCGUGCUUAACACAUGCAAGUCGAACGGAAAGGCCCUGCUUUUGUGGGGUGCUCGAGUGGCGAACGGGUGAGUAACACGUGAGUAACCUGCCCUUGACUUUGGGAUAACUUCAGGAAACUGGGGCUAAUACCGGAUAGGAGCUCCUGCUGCAUGGUGGGGGUUGGAAAGUUUCGGCGGUUGGGGAUGGACUCGCGGCUUAUCAGCUUGUUGGUGGGGUAGUGGCUUACCAAGGCUUUGACGGGUAGCCGGCCUGAGAGGGUGACCGGCCACAUUGGGACUGAGAUACGGCCCAGACUCCUACGGGAGGCAGCAGUGGGGAAUAUUGCACAAUGGGCGGAAGCCUGAUGCAGCAACGCCGCGUGCGGGAUGACGGCCUUCGGGUUGUAAACCGCUUUCGCCUGUGACGAAGCGUGAGUGACGGUAAUGGGUAAAGAAGCACCGGCUAACUACGUGCCAGCAGCCGCGGUGAUACGUAGGGCGCGAGCGUUGUCCGGAUUUAUUGGGCGUAAAGGGCUCGUAGGUGGUUGAUCGCGUCGGAAGUGUAAUCUUGGGGCUUAACCCUGAGCGUGCUUUCGAUACGGGUUGACUUGAGGAAGGUAGGGGAGAAUGGAAUUCCUGGUGGAGCGGUGGAAUGCGCAGAUAUCAGGAGGAACACCAGUGGCGAAGGCGGUUCUCUGGGCCUUUCCUGACGCUGAGGAGCGAAAGCGUGGGGAGCGAACAGGCUUAGAUACCCUGGUAGUCCACGCUGUAAACGGUGGGUACUAGGUGUGGGGUCCAUUCCACGGGUUCCGUGCCGUAGCUAACGCUUUAAGUACCCCGCCUGGGGAGUACGGCCGCAAGGCUAAAACUCAAAGGAAUUGACGGGGCCCCGCACAAGCGGCGGAGCAUGCGGAUUAAUUCGAUGCAACGCGUAGAACCUUACCUGGGUUUGACAUGGAUCGGGAGUGCUCAGAGAUGGGUGUGCCUCUUUUGGGGUCGGUUCACAGGUGGUGCAUGCCUGUCGUCAGCUCGUGUCGUGAGAUGUUGGGUUAAGUCCCACAACGAGCGCAACCCUUGUUCACUGUUGCCAGCACGUUAUGGUGGGGACUCAGUGGAGACCGCCGGGGUCAACUCGGAGGAAGGUGGGGAUGACGUCAAGUCAUCAUGCCCCUUAUGUCCAGGGCUUCACGCAUGCUACAAUGGCUGGUACAGAGAGUGGCGAGCCUGUGAGGGUGAGCGAAUCUCGGAAAGCCGGUCUCAGUUCGGAUUGGGGUCUGCAACUCGACCUCAUGAAGUCGGAGUCGCUAGUAAUCGCAGAUCAGCAACGCUGCGGUGAAUACGUUCCCGGG